rnacentral:rRNA from 1 species
AGAGUUUGAUCCUGGCUCAGGACGAACGCUGGCGGCGUGCCUAACACAUGCAAGUCGAACGGAAGUUAGAGCUUUGGUUUUAACUUUAGUGGCGAACGGGUGAGUAACGCGUGAGGAACCUGCCUUUCAGUGGGGGACAACAGUUGGAAACGACUGCUAAUACCGCAUGACACUUUUGGGGGACAUCCCUUAAAAGUCAAAGCUUUAUGUGCUGAAAGAUGGCCUCGCGUCUGAUUAGCUAGUUGGUGAGGUAACGGCUCACCAAGGCGACGAUCAGUAGCCGGUCUGAGAGGAUGAACGGCCACAUUGGGACUGAGAUACGGCCCAGACUCCUACGGGAGGCAGCAGUGGGGAAUAUUGGGCAAUGGGGGAAACCCUGACCCAGCAACGCCGCGUGAAGGAAGAAGGCCUUCGGGUUGUAAACUUCUUUUACCAGGGACGAAGGACGUGACGGUACCUGGAGAAAAAGCCACGGCUAACUACGUGCCAGCAGCCGCGGUAAUACGUAGGUGGCAAGCGUUGUCCGGAUUUACUGGGUGUAAAGGGCGUGUAGGCGGAGAUGCAAGUUGGGAGUGAAAUCCAUGGGCUCAACCCAUGAACUGCUCUCAAAACUGUAUCCCUUGAGUAUCGGAGAGGCAAGCGGAAUUCCUAGUGUAGCGGUGAAAUGCGUAGAUAUUAGGAGGAACACCAGUGGCGAAGGCGGCUUGCUGGACGACAACUGACGCUGAGGCGCGAAAGCGUGGGGAGCAAACAGGAUUAGAUACCCUGGUAGUCCACGCUGUAAACGAUGAAUACUAGGUGUGGGAGGACUGACCCCUUCCGUGCCGCAGUUAACACAAUAAGUAUUCCACCUGGGGAGUACGACCGCAAGGUUGAAACUCAAAGGAAUUGACGGGGGCCCGCACAAGCAGUGGAUUAUGUGGUUUAAUUCGACGCAACGCGAAGAACCUUACCAGGAUUUGACAUCCAACUAACGAAGUAGAGAUACAUCAGGUACCCUUCGGGGGAAGUUGAGACAGGUGGUGCAUGGUUGUCGUCAGCUCGUGUCGUGAGAUGUUGGGUUAAGU